GGAUGAAUGACCAAUCUUUUUGCUCUGUUCCAUAUAGGUUCACAGCUACUGUUCCUCUUCACUGCCAGUUUGUUUGCAGUGAUAAAAAUAAAGAUUGUGGUAAUAGCUGUGGCAGUGAUACCUCCAGUUACAAGUGAGCCCUGCUAAGAGUAGGGAAAAGAGACUCAGGUAAACAUUGGAGAAUUCCUAUCCAGCAGACAUAGAUCUCCACCAAUAUACUGUUUUAAAGAGAAUCUUGUGAACUUUGCAUAUUUGGAAGAUUUUAGACUUCUUAUCUUCCCUUUGGCAUCCUAGCAGUGUCUCGGAACAGCUGAUAUCAUUGUCUGCAUUGGGAGCCAAAGACAGACAAGAAGCAGAUUCAAAGUUCUACAAAGAGCCUAGAAGAAAAAAAAAAACUGCACCAUACAAGAGCAAAAGGACUUCCAGGAUUUACAAGGACUGCUGCAGCCUUCUGGAUGGGGAAGAAUUUGUGGCUCCAGAAGGCUGCUAUACCAAUGUGACCGAUAUGAAGUGUAAAGUACAUGGCAAGAUUAUUUUUGUUCCUAUUGUAUUUAUUCUCUUUUGUUGUUAAGUGAAGGAGGACAGGAAGCAGAAUAACCCAGUUCCUGGAGAAAAAUCAAUAAAUGUUUUGUUGAAUUGAAUUAAA
ensembl:lncRNA